UCAGGAUGAACGCUAGCUACAGGCUUAACACAUGCAAGUCGAGGGGAAACGAUAGAGAAGCUUGCUUUUCUAGGCGUCGACCGGCGCACGGGUGAGUAACGCGUAUCCAACCUGCCCAUCACUUGGGGAUAACCUUGCGAAAGUAAGACUAAUACCCAAUGACGUCUCUAGAAGACAUCUGAAGGAGAUUAAAGAUUUAUCGGUGAUGGAUGGGGAUGCGUCUAAUUAGCUUGUUGGCGGGGUAACGACCCACCAAGGCGACGAUCAGUAGGGGUUCUGAGAGGAAGGCCCCCCACAUUGGAACUGAGACACGGUCCAAACUCCUACGGGAGGCAGCAGUGAGGAAUAUUGGUCAAUGGACGAGAGUCUGAACCAGCCAAGUAGCGUGCAGGAUGACGGCCCUAUGGGUUGUAAACUGCUUUUAUAAGGGAAUAAAGUGAGUCUCGUGAGACUUUUUGCAUGUACCUUAUGAAUAAGGACCGGCUAAUUCCGUG
rnacentral:rRNA from 1 species